rnacentral:rRNA from 1 species
GAUGAACGCUGGCGGCGUGCUUAACACAUGCAAGUCGAACGGAAAGGCUCCUGCUUGCAGGGGUACUCGAGUGGCGAACGGGUGAGUAACACGUGGGUGAUCUGCCCUGCACUUCGGGAUAAGCCUGGGAAACUGGGUCUAAUACCGGAUAGGACGAUGGUUUGGAUGCCAUCGUGGAAAGUUUUUCGGUGUGGGAUGAGCUCGCGGCCUAUCAGCUUGUUGGUGGGGUAAUGGCCUACCAAGGCGUCGACGGGUAGCCGGCCUGAGAGGGUGUACGGCCACAUUGGGACUGAGAUACGGCCCAGACUCCUACGGGAGGCAGCAGUGGGGAAUAUUGCACAAUGGGCGCAAGCCUGAUGCAGCGACGCCGCGUGGGGGAUGACGGCCUUCGGGUUGUAAACUCCUUUCGCUAGGGACGAAGCGCAAGUGACGGUACCUGGAGAAGAAGCACCGGCUAACUACGUG